rnacentral:lncRNA from 1 species
AACUUUGUCACUGAUUUAAAUAAAAAAAUAAUAAAUCAAUAAUAAAAAAUAAAAUAAAUUUAUAAGGUAAUAAAUUGAUACAUUUUAAAUUAAAGAAUACUAAAGUAGGAAAAUAUGAAACUACAUGGGUGGUAUUUGAAAAAAAAAAAAAAAAAAGGGAAAAAAAGAAGGAGAGAGAAAGGAAUAAGAGUAUUUUGGUUAGUUUUUUGGAAAUUUGGGCUGAACCUGUAAAAUUGAAAAAAGUAGUCCUGUUUUACAAAAGCCCAAAACUUAUAAAUUUUUUAUGCAAAUUGGCCUUAUUUUUUCGCUGUAAAAUAAAAUAUUUUCUCAUAAAAAAUAAACUUUUCUAAUUAAUU